rnacentral:lncRNA from 1 species
GCUCUGGGAAAGGAGGGGAAUGUGAGGGUUCUGACCUCCAGGACCCAGCCCCGACCCUGCUAAAGGUCUCCAGAGGGGCUCCUGCUUUCCCUAAGAGACAUGGCCGCCCCCAUCUCUCUCCUUACCCCAUCUCAGGAUGAGGGGCUUGGGCAGCCCCUUGUGCUGCACAUGGCAUGUGUAUCUCUGCUCCUCUCCAGAAGGCACCACCACAGCCGCCCACUUCUGGAAGGUUCCAUCCCCUGCAGGCCUGGUCUCCACAAGCUCUGUGUCCUGGGUCUGUUCCUCCCCAUCCCGCUGCCAGAAGCGCUGGGUGAUCUGAGCCACGGUGUCCGCCGCGGUCCAGGAGCGCAGGUCCUCGUUCAGGGAGAUGUAAU